CUUCAAAAAUAUGUUUCAUGAAAAAAUACUAUUGUAUUUGAAUAUCUUCAAAUUUUCGGGAGAAUAACAAUUUUACUCUGAUACAUUUGUGAUCGAAUCAAACGAACACAAUUUCAACUGAUUUUAUUAUAGAUUAAAAUUCGUCCGAAGAAUAUUCUUUGAAUACUGCAUUAUAACAAUUCGAAAUUAUACAAACCGCGUAUCACAAUAACCACUAAACUAUUGAAUAAAGCAAGAGAUGGUGGAAUCAAUGGAAACGGAUAUAAUAUAAUGGUAACAAGAUCAUUACAAAUUUUUCCAAUUGUAUUGAAACGUGGAUUAUGACGGUAGCCUGUGACUACAGAUAAAAGAAGACUGGACAUGCCAUUGUUCUCGAGAGGACAUGAUUUUGGGGUCCCAGACACCCUCAGCCGCAGUUAGGUCGACGUGUACGGAACACAGUCGGUAUCACAAUCGUGCCUGUUUUACCAGAAUGGAGAGUGAAGUCUUAUGCAAGAUUUCCCCAUGUUAAAAAAAAAAUAUUAAAGGUAUCUGACUGCAGCACCGUCAUCAACCGUUCGACAUAGAACGAAAUGAAACAGCAUCAGUCUUAUAACGACCGCCGAGGGGUGCAGAUCUACCUGCUAAACAUACUUACUUGUAUCUAUAUUUUAUUUUCUACUUACGUUCAUUUAA